rnacentral:rRNA from 1 species
GUCAACGGCCAUGCCACCUUGAACAAACCUGAUCCCAUCUGAUCUUGGAAGCCAAGCAGGGUCGGGCCUGAUUAGUACUUAGAUGGGAGACCAUCUAGGAGGACUGGGUGCUGUAGGUG